rnacentral:rRNA from 1 species
GCGACCCCAGGUCAGGCGGGUCUACCCGC